rnacentral:tRNA from 1 species
GAGGGUACAGCUCAAGUGGUAGAGUGCAUGCUUAGCAUGCAUGAGGUCCUGGGUUCAAUCUCCAGUACCUCCU